UUGCCACUACCGCUCGUCCAAUCAUUGAGAGGAAGGGGCGGGCCGAGGUCCACGCUUGUGACAAAAAUUUCGGCCCGCCGCAAAACAUUUUAUCUCUCUUUUUUGGCCUUUCGCGUGAGCGGUCUUGGAAACUGCGUUCCCAUGGCGCCUGUCUGUGGCAGAAAUGAAAGUGAGGGGCAAGGCGCUUCGGGUUUCCGCCUAGAGCCGCCUGGCAGAGGGUAUCGCUGGUCCUGGGUCCAGGCCGGUCGGGAAUGCCGCGGUCGGCAGCAGCUCGCCCCGUUCCCUGCAGUUUCCGGAAUCCUUGCGGGUGUCAUCGUAGCCAUAGCUGUCCACCUAUACCGCUGGACCCCAGUAUACUUGUCAGUUUGGCAGAGGGAAUGUUUGCUGGCUCCCCAAAAGAGAAAGACAUCUAAACGUUUUAAAGAAGUGAAGCAAAAGCUACCCAGAGCUCUGAUAACCUUUCUUGUUUCUGUAAAGUUUCUGAGAUGUGAACCAAUCCCAGUUAUGAUGGAACUGAAAUGGCAGUCUGGCAUGAUAUAUUUAGGAAUGAAACUGAAAAAAUGCACAACCUAAAAGUUGAGAAUUAUGUUUCAUUUGGUGACUCUCUGCGGACUUAAACCUGAAGACAGUCUUUCAGGUUGCUCUGAAGGACUACUCCAAAGAGAACUGGACCCAGUGUUAAAAGAGGACAUUUGCUACAUACCACAUGGUGCUCUGGAAAUAGCUCAACAAAUGCAGAAUAAACUGUUAAGCUAAUAGGCCUCCAAAUCCAGAACCAUCUCAAACAGAUAAAAUCAGCCACAUUCUGCACUAUGAUCAUAGAUGGGAGCGCUGGAUCACUUCCAAAGAAAAUCUCUCCGUCUUCAUGUGCCAUGUUCCCCAGAGUGAAGAAGGUCUGAACUUCUAGUUUGGCAUCAUCAUUCUGUGGCUUCCGAAUCCAGGGAAAAGGUUAAAAAUGUCCAGCAGAUGCUGUCUUGGCUUUAAGAAAUGCUUCUAUCAAACCAUCAGAGCAAGCAAGGAAAUUUGUCUAAAUGCCCUGAUUUCAUGUAUUUUUUUUCCUUCUCAAAGUGACCUAGCACUUCUCUGCUGGACUCUUGUACUUCCACAAAGCCUCAGAUGUGCAUAAUUGUCUAAGGCAGAAUUCUCUGAGGCUCCUAGACCAUGGCUGAGAAGGGCUAGAGCUGGUUCACAGCUCACUUUAGGGCCCAGAGCUGGGAUGAAGUCUCCAUGCCUACUACCUGAUGCACAGGAUAUUGCAUUUCAAGCCUUUGAAAGCCAGAUUGCACCUCCCUACGAGUGGAAAAACACGCAAUAAGGGAGGACAUAAAAAAAAGAGGACAAUCACACUCAGCUUUCUUUCAAGAGAAGAGGUGAGAAUUCCUGGCUGAAUGGGGUGGAUUAGGUUUGGUGUUUGCAGUUAAGCCUGAGUAAGGGGAACUGUAGCAUUAUGGGAUUCUGCGUAGUCACUCCCUGAGCCAGAGUUUCCAUGUGAUCAGAGAACUCAGGAUCGAGGGGAAGCACUGCCAGGAGGCCGCUGGCUUAGGACCCUCCAGGGUCUAUAGGUCAGGGUGCCCUUCUCGACAUAUCACAAAGAUGACAUCCUUAAGCCUGCAGCCUGCUGGCAUCACCUGCCACCUUUGGGUGGAUGGACAGCUGCCCAGGCUCCACCCUGAGUUGGCGGCCCCAGAGUGGAGCUCAGACAGGUGAUGUAGACAAGCGUCCAGGGUGAGAACAGCUCGUGGAACGGCGGGAGAGCCACCCUCCAUGAAAUACCCAAGAACCAGGGCUUGGCCUGCUGGUCCACAUCCAGGCUCUGGCCAUUGUCCAGAAGCAUUUCUGCUUCUCUGGCCUCUGUUUCCCACUCCUUCUUUAUCUAAUGCCCUGGACCAGAGCUGGGUAAGAAAACUUUCAAGGAGGAUGGAAAUGUCCUAUAUCUGCACCGUCCGAUAAUGUAGCCACCAGCCCCGGGGGCUGUUGAGGAUUUGAAAUGUGGCCAGUGUGAGCGAAGAACUGGAUUUUUAAUUUAACUUAGUUAAUUUAAAUUUAAAUUGUCACUUGUGUCUUGUGGCCGUCAUACUGGACAGUGCAGACCUAAAACCUCUGGGAUAAAAGGGGCCUCAGGGAUCACUGAGUCUAUCAAUCUCAUUUUAUAGGGGAAGAAACUAGAUCAAAAGCUUUGGAGCAGGAAAAAGGUAUACAACUCCCGGUCCCACUGAUCACUAGCUAUGGGAAUGUAGGAAGCAGUGGAGGACACCUAUGUGACGUGACUGUGGUGGCAUGCAGAGGGUACAUGAAGCACACCCAAGGAUGAAGAGAGCAAGGAUGGGAUGCAAAUGAGUGAGCCAAUGCUUUUCUGGAACUUUCCUGAGGGAGUGCUUUGGCUUGAAAACCUACUCUUAAUGGGAUUACUUUUAAGCUGUAUUUCUUUUGGCCUUCAUUCCUAGAGAAACGUUUUUAGAAAAAUCAGCAAAGAGAAGAUCAAAAUAAUAUGUUGAAACCUUGGGCUCUGCUCUCUUGGCUAUAGGCUUCCUGAGUGGUUUGAAAGACAGAGAUUCUAACAACUAUCACAAAAGGCCCUAAUGAUUCUCCGCAUUUAAGGCUCCCAUCCUAUUUCCCCCUUGUCUCAGUGGCUGGCAUAUUUUUAGAUAAGACACAACCAAAGACUUUAUUGAGAAUACAACAAUAUAAAAUAAUGAUGGUGAAAAAGCUCCAAAUGAGAUGGAUAAGGUUUUGUUUUUUGUUUUUGUUUUUUCUUUCCUAUGGAUUAAAAAGCAUUUACCUGUGUCAGCAAAGUGAUGAAAAAAAUCUGUCUCUAGAUAGAAAAAACAGCCUUUUUUUGGAAGGACAUGCUGUUCAUAUUCUGACAACCAUUUCUUUCUACUGGCUGGUCUAAGAAAAAUAAAGAAUAUAAUUUCUCAUUCUAACUACAUUGGUUAUUUUAAAGACAUAGGUAGAAUUCAUCCUUCAAGCUUCCUGGGAAGAAGCUGAGAUGUUUCUAACUCUCCCAUUGCAUCAAAUUCUGGGCCUGAUGUGAAAAGGAUUUGGGGGUAGGAAGGAAGGGGAGCAGGGGCCCAUGCAUAUCCUCUGAUCGCAGACCUAGUGACUUGCCAAUGUCUUAAUCAUUAGGGAAAGGUGAUCAAGAAUCUUUAGCUUCUAGGGAUUUAGAAUUAAAAUGUCCACAAUAGUAUAUGGAAUGACUGGCCAAUAGAGACCUGCUGUAUAGCUCAGGGAACUCUAUCCAAUAUUUUGUGAUAAUCUAUACAGGAAAAGAAUCUGAAAAAGGAUGGGUUGUGUAUAUGUGUAAUUGAAUCACUUUGCUGUACAGCAGAAAUAAUCACAACAUAGUAAAUCAACUACAAUUCAAUAAAACUUAAAAAAAAAUCAGUGUAGCUAAAAAAAAAAUUGUCCAUAAUAUGUAGAAAUGCUUUCAUCCUCCCAGCUGCCAAUAUCCAGCCCUGUGGAGAUGCCGGAAUCAAAAGACUCAAAACUUAACAGAAUCUUUGGUGUAUGUCCUUCUAUUUCUUUUUUUUUUUUUUUUUUUGGCCUGCACCCGAGGCAUAUGGAAGU